CCAUCUAUAGAGCAGAACUAAUAACAGCACCAGUCUGCUAAGGUUUCCAUUACAGAUGCAAGAAAAAAGUCUCCUUGUGCUUUCUGUCUGUCUCAUUGUGGCAGUCCAGAUUGAAUGGGAGAAUACAGGG